UACGUAGGGUGCGAGCGUUGUCCGGAAUUAUUGGGCGUAAAGAGCUUGUAGGCGGUCUGUCGCGUCUGCUGUGAAAAUCCGGGGCUCAACCCCGGACUUGCAGUGGGUACGGGCAGACUAGAGUGUGGUAGGGGAGACUGGAAUUCCUGGUGUAGCGGUGAAAUGCGCAGAUAUCGUUUGGAACGCCAAUGGUGAAAACAGGUUGCUGGGGGUGUGCUGACGCUGAGACACGAAAGCCAGGGGAGCAAACGGG
rnacentral:rRNA from 1 species